CUAGAGGAUUGUAACAUCAUAACCACCAGAGAUGAACUUUAAAAGAAAAGAAAAAAAAAGUUUACAGAUACAUUUCCCCGACUGAAACAUUUUUACAUUAGCAAGACAAAUGUCAUACAACGUUUUAAACCUAUUAUUCUUAUUUAUAGUGUGCAGUAUUUGGUUUAAUUGAUCAUAUGCAGACAGUGUGCUUAAAAAGGAGGAGAUAAAAGCAUCACAGCUGAGUUUGGUAAAAGAAAAGUCCAUGUUUAGCUGCUUCAAACCUAAACCUGUUUACUGGACCCCCAAAUGAGAGAGCUUUAAGGUGGACUGGACCCUCCUGAGGGAGGCUUUACCUGGACCGGACUAACCUGAGGGAGCUCUUAGGAGGACUGGACAAACUUUGGAGAGCUUCGAGGUAAACUAUACCCUUGUGAAGGAGCCUUUACCUGGACUG